UAUGUGAUCGUCUCUCGCAUAUCAAUAAGCGGAGGAAAAGAAACUAACAAGGAUUCCCCUAGUAACGGCGAGUGAAGCGGGAAGAGCUCAAAUUUGAAAUCUUAAAGGGUUUCCCUUUACGAAUUGUAGUUUAAAGAAGUGUUUUCUGUUGAGGUUUUGGUAAAAGUUCUUUGGAAUAGGACAUCAUAGAGGGUGAGAAUCCCGUAUUUGACCAUUACUUUUCAACUUUGUGAUACACUUUCAAAGAGUCGGAUUGUUUGGGAAUGCAGUCCAAAAUGGGUGGUAAAUUUCAUCUAAAGCUAAAUAUUGGCGAGAGACCGAUAGCGAACAAGUACCGUGAGGGAAAGAUGAAAAGAACUUUGAAAAGAGAGUUAAACAGUACGUGAAAUUGUCAAAAGGGAAGCGUUUGACACCAGUGUUGUUUUUCUGAAAAUCAAUUAAAGAACUGUUUAUGCUAAGUUGUUUAGACUUUAUCAGCUAUCUGUUUAGUUUUGAGCUUUUCUUUAAUGCACUUUUCAGUUAACAAGUCAACAUCAAUUUCUUUUGCUGUAAAAAAGCUUGAGGAAGGUGGCUUGAGAUUCGUCUUAAGUGUUUAUAGCCUCUUGCCUAUGCAGUCGGAGAGAUUGAGGUCUGCAGCGUAGAUCCUUCGGGGCUAAAUGCAUUUGUGCUAAGUUAUAGCAUUUUAUAGACAACUUGUUGACUAUGAUUUGUCUUGUAGCUUACUCGCUUAUGUUAUUUUACCUACGCUUAGGAUGUUGACUGAUAUGUAGUCGU
rnacentral:rRNA from 1 species